AAAAUUAGUAAAUGCCACACCACUCGACUCAAGUACCCCUGCCGUCCGGAACAUACGCUGACACCUGUCAAGAAAGCCCUGGGCAUCAUCGCCCUCAGCACCACUGAAUGUCAGAGGCUAGGGCCUACCGAACCUCUCGAGACGACCUGCUCAUCCUCUGGCAUAGCUGGAACCACGAAUCCCUGAACUGGUGCAACUUGCUGAGCUUGAG
rnacentral:lncRNA from 1 species